UACAUAUAUAUAUGCCUGUUCUUCUUAUGAUUUCGUGGAGUUAGUUGUUAAGCGUAGUAGAAUGUAGUUAGAUUGUAAUUUAGGAUGUAGUUAGACUGUAAUUUAGGCUAUAGUUAAAUUAUAAUUUAUAUCGAUAUGAUUUAGUUAAAGGGCCAAUUCGAACUAAAUUGAUUAUACUUUUAUCGUAUAUUUUAAAUACACAACUUUAUUGGUGUUCAUGAUUUGGAAAUAAUUUGGCAGUAACUUGACAAUGAUUUGACAGUGAUUUGGUAGUGAUUGGGCAGUGAUUUGGCAGUAAUUUGCUGGUUUUAUAAAGUAAUAGUACGGAUAAGUCAAGGCACGAGCGGUUGCCAUUAUUCAUUUACCUUAUAAUUUUAUAAGUUUGUUGGGCCACACCCCACUAUUACGUAACAUUACGGUUACAUUAGUUAGAACAAACAGUAUUAUUAUAUUUUAAUUCAUUCUUUGUUCUCUCCUAUAUGUGCCUUAAAAUAAGUGCCGUAUGUGUCUUAAAAGUGCCUGUUCUAAUGAUCUGUGAUACAAUGAUAAAUACGAUGGAUUUCUACAUGUACUUUAAGGUAUAAGUACUACAUAACUUGUACGAUAUAAUCACUAUAUCGUAAAUUAUGUAAAAGAUAAUAAAUAUAAUUAAUACGAAAAUAAGUGAAAAUACGGAAAAAAACUGCUGGAAAUUAUGAAUGGUCUUCAUAGCUGGAUUCAUAGAUGGUCUUGAAAUGAACCAAUCUUUUGAUUUUUAUAAAAAGAAUUUAUAUGAUUCUGAUAUAUUCUAUCUAUCGUGAAGAAUAUUAUAAGCAAUAAAAGUAAUUACAGCGCGCUACUUGGUCAGUAGUACUGGAAAGGUAUUUUACUAUAUUGCGAAGAGUACCAGACUUCAUCGAGUAGAUGUUGUUGCAUAUGAAGACCAACUCAUUAACGCCAACUCAUUUAAGUAAAGUAAAUGAGAAUAAAAGAUAAUAAAUGAAAACAAAUAAAAAUGUAUAAGAAGAAUAAAGAAAUUAUAAUU